rnacentral:rRNA from 1 species
GCGCAGCAGGCGCGAAACCUCCGCAAUGCGGGAAACCGCGACGGGGGACCCCGAGUGCCGUGGCAACGCCACGGCUUUUCCGGAGUGUAAAAAGCUCCGGGAAUAAGGGCUGGGCAAGGCCGGUGGCAGCCGCCGCGGUAAUACCGGCGGCCCGAGUGGUGGCCGCUAUUAUUGGGCCUAAAGCGUCCGUAGCCGGGCCCGUAAGUCCCUGGCGAAAUCCCACGGCUCAACCGUGGGGCUUGCUGGGGAUACUGCGGGUCUUGGGACCGGGAGAGGCGGGGGGUACCCCUGGGGUAGGGGUGAAAUCCGUAUAAUCCCCAGGGGGACCGCCAGUGGCGAAGGCGCCCCGCUGGAACGGGUCCGACGGUGAGGGACGAAGGCCAGGGGAGCAAAACCGGGAUUAGAUACCCGGGUAGU